AGAUGAGAAUUGCAAGCACACUAAGGACAUCUCUCUGCAGCGAAGUGCAUCACAGAUCAGAGUCCUGAAUUUACAUCAGCUGAGCCUGUGCCAGAACCCAGGUUUUCAUGGGAUGCAGAGGUCACGUGUCAUUUCACUUUCUACGGUAAGUGCACUGAGAGCUGUUGGAGACCAAUAUUUGUGGACAGAGGAACUAUCAAAACAUUGGAGAUGAACAUUUGAGGCACUGCAGAAAAACAUAUUGAGGUUUCCUGUCCCAAAUGUUUUUUGUUACUGUUUUUUUCCUUUUAGUCCCUUGUUCAGUAAGGAGCAGACUUGACACCCAUUCUUUUGAUAUCUUGUGUAUGAACCUUCCAUGUUCUGACUUCGUAAUCAUACUGUUCAGAAUUAACUUCCACUGUGGCCUGCAUUCAUUUUAAGGGGAUUUGCUCACAAUAUUAAAAGACAAGAUGAUAUAAAUGGAUUGAAACUCCUGGGUCUUGCUCUCCAUAUCAUUCUCAUUGUGCUUUGAUCUUCUCUCUGUUUCCUUCAGGAAGCUGAGUAUCAGAAAGAGAAAAGAUUCUACCCAUUAAGCGUAAAAGACCUCUGAUGUUUGAUGCAAGGAGAGGAUCCACCAUGUUAGUAGCUUUGUCAGUGAGCGAAGUAAAUGCAGAGGUGCUAGCUUUUGUUCUGGGUUUGUACAGUGCCUUAAAUAAAUAUAUUGGUACUGACAUAUGGCUGAAACUCCUGAGAAUGUUUUAUAUUUUACUUUUAUGGGCAACUGAAUCCAUGAUAAUUAUUUAGAAAAAAGAAAUAUAAAUGCUAUUAUUGUAACACUCAAUUUGUGAAGAUGCUGCCUAUUUAUCUCUGAUUGAUGUGUGAUUUUAACAAAGCUGAGCAAAUCUUUCAUGAAGAGUUGAAAACUCCUCAUCUGUUGAGAGAGUUAAAAUGUGGGUCAAUGCUCUGAAUGUUGGUCUGCUCACAGGCUAGGACUUCUUUCCUCCACAAACACAUUCCCUCCCACUAAAAAUCAGAUGUAAUUUGUCUGCCUCUGAAUGAUAGCAUUCUGACUAACUCAUUCCUACCAGAAAGCCUAGAUUUAACAGAUACUGUUACUCUCUACACAUUUCUCAGGUUUUUAUUGUACCUAACUUUUCAGAGUCUUGAGCCUCCUGUGUAAUAUAAGGUGUUAGAAACUCAGGUUAUUACCAAAGUGGCAGCCUCAGGCAGGAGAGAAAAUUGGCACAAAAAGACACAUACUUACUUUCCUCCUCCUUUUUCCUGU